rnacentral:rRNA from 1 species
CGAUAGUGAACCAGUACCGUGAGGGAAAGGCGAAAAGAACCCCGGCGAGGGGAGUGAAAAAGAACCUGAAACCGUGUACGUACAAGCAGUGGGAGCACAGGUUUACCUGUGUGACUGCGUACCUUUUGUAUAAUGGGUCAGCGACUUAUAUUCUGUAGCAAGGUUAACCGUAUAGGGGAGCCGUAGGGAAACCGAGUCUUAACCGGGCGUUAAGUUGCAGGGUAUAGACCCGAAACCCGGUGAUCUAGCCAUGGGCAGGUUGAAGGUUGGGUAACACUAACUGGAGGACC